CCUACGGGGGGCAGCAGUGGGGGAUAUUGCACAAUGGGGGAAACCCUGAUGCAGCGACGCCGCGUGGGUGAAGAAGGAUUUCGGUAUGUAAAGCCCUAUCAGCAGGGAGGAAAGAAGACGGUACCUGACUAAGAAGCCUCGGCUAACAACGUGCAAGCAGCAGCGGUAAAACGUAGGGGGGGAGCGUCAUCCGGAUUCACGGGGUGUAAGGGGAGCGGAGGCGGCCGUGCAAGCCAGGAGUGAAAGCCCGGGGCCUAACCCCGGUAAUGCUCUUGGAACUGGGCGGCUGGAGUGCUGGAGGGGCAGGUGGAAUUCCUGGUGUAGCGGUGAAAUGCGUAGAGAUCAGGAGGAACACCGACGGCGAAGGCGGCCUGCUGGACCUCGACUGACGUUGAGGCUCGAAAGCGUGGGGAGCGAACAGGAUUAGAUACCCCAGUAGUC
rnacentral:rRNA from 1 species